AUGGCAAGCCAAAGCCACAUGUGCUCGUCGUGCCGUACCCGGCGCAAGGUCACCUGCUACCGCUCCUUGACCUGGUGGUGCUGCUCGCCGGACGAGGGCUCGCGCUCACCGUCGUCGUCACGCAAGGCAACGUCCAGUUCCUCGCCGCAUUGCCGCCGUCCGUGGCCACCGUUGUGCUGCCGUUCCCGUCGGCGCCUUUGCUCCCGGCCGGGUGCGGCGAGAACACCAAGGACCUCCCGGCGGACCUCUUCCGGCCGUUCAUGGCGUCCGUCCAUUCUCUCCGAUCUGUUCAUGGGCUGGACGCUUCCGCUCGCCGACGAGCUCGGCGUGCCGCACGUGGCCUUCUCGCCCACCAGCCUCCACUACCUCGCAUUCACUCGCUUCCUUUGGCGCCGCAUGCCGACGGGGCACGACGGCGAGGGCGAGAGGGUGGUCACCUUCCCGGAGCUGCCCGGCUCGCCUAGCAUCCCGUGGCGCCGCCUGUCGGGGCUGUUCCGGAUGCAUGAGGCUGGCGACGAGGUCUCCGAGAUGAUCCGGCAGAUCCUUCUGUGGAGCGUAGAAAGCUCCUGCUUUGUGGUCAACUCGUUCGCCGCACUCGAGGCCGGCUGCUUCAGGGAUGCGCUGGCGGCGAAGCGGGUGUUCAUGGUCGGCCCGCUGUCGGAAGCCGCCGGCGUGCGCGGCGGCGGCGGCGAACCCGCGGAGGUGUGCGCGUGGCUGGACGGGUUCGACGACGGUUCCGUCGUAUACAUCUGCUUCGGGUCGCAGGAGGCGCUGUCGCCGGCGCAGGCGGCGUGCGUGGCCGAAGCUCUGAGGCUGAGCCCGACCGCCGCGUUCGUCUGGGUGGCGAGGGGCGGCACCGUCGUGCCGGAGGGGUUCGAGGCGGCCACGGCAUCACGCGGGAGGGUAGUCCGGGGCUGGGCGCCGCAGCUGGACAUCCUGCGCCACCGCGCCGUGGGGUGGACCCUCACGCACUGCGGCUCGAACUCGGUGAUGGAGUCGGUCGCCGCCGGCGUGGCGUUGCUCACGUGGCCGAUGGCCGCUGACCAGUUCACGAACGCGUGGCUGCUCGCUGAGGCUGGCGCGGCCGUGCUGGUGGCGGAGGGCGCGGACGCCGUGCCUGACGCCGAGAAGAUGGCGAGCGCCAUCUCCAAGGCUGUCACGUCAGAAGAGGGGGAGUCCACCAGGAGGCGUGCGGUGGAGCUCGGCCGGAAUGCGGCCGCCGCGGUGACGGCGGGCGGAACGUCGUGCGGCGACCUGCAAGAGUUGGUGCGUGCGCUCGGUAACGUCGAUGGACUGGCUAGUUAA
rnacentral:rRNA from 1 species